UGUGAUUGUCUCUCCUGGUUUUGAUGCCCCUCAUCCCCAUCCAGCACGCGAUAAAUCUCCGGCUUACAAUCAGGAGAAAUGCUGCCAGAACAAAAGCCCACAUGUCCAUUGCGUUGCCUUCGGCUCGCCGGUGAUUUGAAUAGCCACAGUUCUAGUGCCACAAAAAGAGCGAUGCUGCCAGUGGUCCCUGACCCUCGUCGUAAUCAAAGACGCCCAGUGAAUCAACCGAGUAUGGGGGGGUCUAUUUUUGUAAAACCCCAACUCGACUUGCUCAUUAUUUUGCCGCUUUUUGGCUGGUCAUCGCUCUCAAGUGGCUCAUUCGGGUCGAGAUUGAUUCGAAAGAAAGGUGCAGAGAAAGUGGCAAGGAGGCAGUGGACUUGGACCAAGUGGGUUGUUGCUGGACCUUCGCUCAAACACAGAAAAAAAUGAUGAGUAAAACUAUGCUUUUAUAUAAUGCGAUACAUGGUUAUCAGCAAGAAGUUUGUAAUUUGCAUAAACGGAUUCUAACUCCCAUUAUACGCAUCCUAUUUUCAGUUACAACAAGACAGAAACCAAUCCUCGACUAUCAGAUACC
rnacentral:misc_RNA from 1 species